CCCGGGAAAAUUUUGAAAUCUGGGUUCCCUGAAUUGCGAUUUCAAGCAUUUUGAAGGUGAAAUCUAGCAGAAUUCUGAAGAUUAUAAAGUACAUCGAAGACAUAAAUUUUCAGACAUUUCUACUCGGAAUUAAAUAAAUUGGAAAAGUCACCUUGAAUACAAGAUGGCUGUGGAGGAGGCUAUGGAAGGGCAUAAUCUCAUUAUCAAGUAAAUCAACUGCAAUUCUGACAGCAAUCAUGAGCAAUUCUGCUUUGCACUUCGGGGG